rnacentral:rRNA from 1 species
UACGAGGGGGGCGAGCGUUGUUCGGAAUUAUUGGGCGUAAAGGGUGCGUAGGCGGUUUGGUAAGUCUUGUGUGAAAUCUAUGGGCUCAACUCAUAGUCUGCACGAGAAACUGCCGGGCUUGAGUAUGGGAGAGGUGAGUGGAAUUCCUGGUGUAGCGGUGAAAUGCGUAGAUAUCAGGAGGAACACCUGUGGCGAAAGCGGCUCACUGGACCAUAACUGACGCUGAUGCACGAAAGCUAGGGGAGCAAACAGG